GACGAACGCUGGCGGCGUGCUUAACACAUGCAAGUCGAACGGAGCGAUUUAUUUCGGUAAAUCGCUUAGUGGCAAACGGGUGAGUAACGCGUAGGCAACCUGCCCUCAGGAUGGGGACAACGGCUCGAAAGAGCCGCUAAUACCGAAUGACGUAACUCUUCCACAUGGAAGAGAUACUAAAGAUGGGUCAAACCAUCGCCUAAGGAUGGGCCUGCGUCUGAUUAGCCAGUUGGUGAGGUAACGGCUCACCAAAGCGACGAUCAGUAGCCGGUCUGAGAGGAUGAACGGCCACAAUGGGACUGAGACACGGCCCAUACUCCUACGGGAGGCAGCAGUGGGGAAUCUUCCGCAAUGGGCGAAAGCCUGACGGAGCAACGCCGCGUGAGUGAAGAAGGUCUUCGGAUCGUAAAGCUCUGUUGUCGGGGACGAAAGAGUAGACGAGGUAAUGCGUUUACUAAGACGGU
rnacentral:rRNA from 1 species